rnacentral:SRP_RNA from 1 species
GCCGGGUGUGGUGGCGGGCGCCUGUAGUCCCAGCUACUAGGGAGGCUGAGGCAGGAGAAUCACUUGAACCCGGGAGGCAGAGGUUGUGGUGAGCCGAGAUCGCGCCACUGCACUCCAGCCUGGGCAACAGAGUGAGACCCUGUCUCAA